GGAAUAUUGGACGACAUGGCGCAGCCUGAUCCAGCCAUGCCGCGUGAGUGAUGAAGGCCCUAGGGUUGUAAAGCUCUUUCACCGGUGAAGAUAAUGACGGUAACCGGAGAAGAAGCCCCGGCUAACUUCGUGCCAGCAGCCGCGGUAAUAGAUA
rnacentral:rRNA from 1 species